UAAGACAGAGGAGGCAAGCGUUGUCCGGACUGACUGGGCGUAAAGCGUCCGCAGGUGGUCGUGCAAGUGCGCUGUGAAAGCGGCCCGCUCAACGGGCCGAGGCCAGCGCAGACUGCUCGACUCGAGGUCGGGAGAGGUCGGUGGAAUUGCCGGUGUAGUGGUGAAAUGCGUAGAGAUCGGCAGGAACACCCAAGGGGAAGCCAGCCGACUGGCCCGCACCUGACACUCAGGGACGACAGCGUGGGGAGCGAACCGGAUUAGAUACCCGGGUAGUCCACGCCGUAAACGAUGGACACUGGUCCUCUGUGCGGUAUCCAUUCCGCGUGGGGGGCUCAGCUAACGCACAAGUGUCCCGCCUGGGAACUACGAGCGCAAGCUUA
rnacentral:rRNA from 1 species